UAAGGAAUAUUGGUCAAUGGACGAAAGUCUGAACCAGCCAUGCCGCGUGGAGGAUGAAGGUCCUCUGGAUUGUAAACUUCUUUUAUCUGGGACGAAAAAGGGAAUUCUUUCUCGUCUGACGGUACCAGAUGAAUAAGCACCGGCUAACUCCGUGCCAGCAGCCGCGGUAAUACGGAGGGUGCAAGCGUUAUCCGGAUUCACUGGGUUUAAAGGGUGCGUAGGUGGGUUGGUAAGUCAGUGGUGAAAUCCCCGAGCUUAACUUGGGAACUGCCAUUGAUACUAUCAGUCUUGAAUACCGUGGAGGUCAGCGGAAUAUGUCAUGUAGCGGUGAAAUGCUUAGAUAUGACAUAGAACACCAAUUGCGAAGGCAGCUGGCUACACGAAUAUUGACACUCAGGCACGAAAGCGUGGGGAUCAAACAGGAUUAGAUACCCUGGUAGUCCACGCCCUAAACUAUGGAUACUCGACAUACGCGAUACACUGUGUGUGU
rnacentral:rRNA from 1 species